rnacentral:piRNA from 1 species
UGAAAUGACAGGUCUGUGCCUCUAUGCCUA